rnacentral:lncRNA from 1 species
CCGGACCCGCGAUCCGUGCCACCGCCCAGAGCCACCACCAGGGGGCACGCGUGGACCGUGGAGCAAAUGCCUCUAACGUCGCCUGCCCAGGACACCUUCCCGUCUUCUGGUGGUCAAGCGGCAAAGCACGGCGUGGUGACAGAGGCCUGUGGUCUCAGCAUUCGGGAGGUUGAGGCAGGAGGAUCUUGAAGUUCGCGCCCAGCCAGGGCAACUUAACCAUUUAGUGAGAUCCGAUCUCAGGGUGGGGGUGGGGGGGAAUGGGUUCUGGAGAUGUAGCUUAGUGCAAAGGCCCUGAGUUCCAUCCUGGCCCCCCAACAAAAGAAAGAACGAAAGAAGAAAAGAAACAGGAUGUCUCUUCUUGAGGGCUCUCCCCUCUAGUCGGGACUUUCGUUCCCUAUCACCCUAGCUCGUCAGCUCGCCGUCCGUGGCCCCUUUAAGACGGCCUUGGAGGACCCAGAUUUAAAGCGAGGGACUCUCUAGCUGCUGUCUCUAUGGUGACUCGUCACUUCCGGUGAGGUGCGUUUUCCAAGCGGCUCCCGCCGGGGGUGAGGGGCGGGGUGUUCGGCGAAUUUGGACACGCGGUUGAUCCGGUCCAAGAGGAAACGUGCUCUCGCCUUCCGCUGGCUGCCGACCCUGGCCAUCGCGAUGGGUGAUCCAGGGUCGCGAAGCAAACGGAAGAUGCCUCCUGCUCCUUGGAUGGGUUUUCCAGGUGACCCCGGUUUGGAUGACCUAGGUCAGUUUCCUGGAAGAUUAGUGCUGUGCUGCAUGAAAAUCUGGUUUCAUUUCUGCUGGUUAUGUGUCAUUGUUUCGGCUUAGGGCCUUCCAGGUUGGUUGGUUGGUGGCGUCUUUCCUCGAGACACAGGGUCUUAUGUAGUCCAGGCCCGCUUUGAGCUCAUCAUGCAGCCCGGGCUCGCCUCAGACCCACAGUGGCCCUCUUGUCUCAGAGCUGAGAUUGCAGCGUGCAGCGCUGCGCCCAGCUUGCUUUAAUGCUUCACCACAUACUUUUGCUGGAGGGCUGUGUUAAGUGCAUAUAAAUAAACUUGGUCCAACCCCAAGGUUUGUGCAAUCUGAUUCCUAAGCCGUGUGGCUUCC